rnacentral:lncRNA from 1 species
CUUUAUAUAUAUAAUAAAUAAAGAUUUAAAUAAAAAAUAAUAAAAAAUAAUUUUUUUAAUUUUUUUCUGAAUUAUACUAUUUCGAAAUUGAAAUCCUAAACCCUGAACCAUCAAUCCUAAACCCUAUUUUUUUUUUAAAUACGAACCCUAAACCCUAAACCAUCAAUCCUAAACCCUAUUUUUUUUUGAAAUAAACUCUAAACCCAGAAACAUCAACUCUAAACCCUAAACCCCGAAACAUCAACUCUAAACCCUAAACCCUAAACCUUCAACUCUAAACCCUGAAACAUUAACUCUAAACCCUAAACCCUAAACCCUAAACUUCAACUCUAAACCCUAAACCAUCAACACUAAACCCUAAACUAUCAACACUAAACUCUAAACCCUAAACCCUAAAAACUAAACUCGAAACCCUAAACCCUAAAAAAUUAACCCUAAACCCCGAAACAUCAACUCUAAACCCUAAACCCUAAACCUUCAACUCUAAACCCUGAAACAUUAACUCUAAACCCUAAACCCUAAACCCUAAACUUCAACUCUAAACCCUAAACCAUCAACACUAAACCCUAAACUAUCAACACUAAACUCUAAACCCUAAACCCUAAAAACUAAACUCGAAACCCUAAACCCUAAAAAAUUAACCCUAAAC